UUCCGGUUGAUCCUGCCAGAGGCUACUGCUAUCGGGGUCCGACUAAGCCAUGCGAGUUGAGAGGGGUAAGCCCUCGGCAUAUUGCUCAGUAACACGCGGAUAACCUGCCCUUGGGUUUGGGAUAACCCCGGGAAACUGGGACUAAUACCGGAUAGAUCAAAGAAACUGGAAUGUUCUCUGAUCGAAAGCUCCGGCGCCCAAGGAUGGGUCUGCGGCCUAUCAGGUAGUAGUGGGUGUAACGUACCUACUAGCCUACGACGGGUAAGGGUUGUGAGAGCAAGAGCCCUGAGAUGGAUUCUGAGACAUGAAUCCAGGCCCUACGGGGUGCAGCAGGCGCGAAAACUUUACACUGCGGGAAACCGCGAUAAGGGGACCCCGAGUGCCAGCACCUAGUGCUGGCUGUCCAGCUGUUCAAAUAACAGUCGUUAGCAAGGGCCGGGCAAGACCGGUGCCAGCCGCCGCGGUAACACCGGCGGCCCGAGUGGUAGCCGUUAUUAUUGGGUUUAAAGGGUCCGUAGCCGGCCUAUUAAGUCUCUUGGGAAAUCUGGCGACUCAAUCGUCAGGCGUUCAAGAGAUACUGGUAGGCUUGGGACCGGGAGAGGUGGGAGGUACUCCAGGGGUAGGGGUGAAAUCUCGUAAUCCUUGGGGGACCACCGAUGGCGAAGGCAUCCCACCAGAACGGGUCCGACGGUGAGGGACGAAAGCUGGGGGCACGAACCGGAUUAGAUACCCGGGUAGUCCCAGCCGUAAACGAUGCUCGCUAGGUGUCAGGUGCGGUGCGACCGCAUCUGGUGCCGCAGUGAAAACUUGAAGCGAGUCACCUGGGAAGUACGGUCGCAAGGCUGAAACUUAAAGGAAUUGGCGGGGGAGCACUACAACGGGUGGAGCCUGCGGUUCAAUUGGAUUCAACGCCGGA
rnacentral:rRNA from 1 species